UUGGGAAUCUUGCACAAUGGGGGAAACCCUGAUGCAGCGACGCCGCGUGGAGGACGAAGGGUCUAGGCCUGUAAACUCCUUUUACCAGGAAAGACUUAGGACGGUACCUGGUGAAUAAGCCCCGGCUAACUACGUGCCAGCAGCCGCGGUAAGACGUAGGGGGCAAGCGUUGUCCGGAUUUACUGGGCGUAAAGGGCGCGUAGGCGGCCUGUUAAGUGUGAAGUGAAAUCUCCAGAGCUCAACUCGGAAACGGCUUUACAUACUGGCAGGCUUGAGGAAUGCAGAGGUGAAUAGAAUUCCUGGUGUAGCGGUGAAAUGCGUAGAUAUCAGGAGGAAUACCCAUGGCGAAGGCAGUUCACUGGGCAUUAUCUGACGCUGAGGCGCGAAAGCGUGGGGAGCAAACAGG
rnacentral:rRNA from 1 species